GAUGAACGCUGGCGGCGUGCCUAAUACAUGCAAGUCGAGCGAACAGACGAGGAGCUUGCUCCUCUGACGUUAGCGGCGGACGGGUGAGUAACACGUGGAUAACCUACCUAUAAGACUGGGAUAACUUCGGGAAACCGGAGCUAAUACCGGAUAAUAUAUUGAACCGCAUGGUUCAAUAGUGAAAGACGGUUUUGCUGUCACUUAUAGAUGGAUCCGCGCCGCAUUAGCUAGUUGGUAAGGUAACGGCUUACCAGGGCAACGAUGCGUAGCCGACCUGAGAGGGUGAUCGGCCACACUGGAACUGAGACACGGUCCAGACUCCUACGGGAGGCAGCAGUAGGGAAUCUUCCGCAAUGGGCGAAAGCCUGACGGAGCAACGCCGCGUGAGUGAUGAAGGUCUUCGGAUCGUAAAACUCUGUUAUUAGGGAAGAACAAAUGUGUAGGUAACUAUGCACGUCUUGACGGUACCUAAUCAGAAAGCCACGGCUAACUACGUG
rnacentral:rRNA from 1 species